UGUGCAACAAAGAACAAAGACCCUCUCACUGAUCAUGAUUCUCGGAAGUCACCCCAAAAAACGGACCUACAUGACCUCAUAUAAAGGGCUGUGAAGUUUCCUCCAGCUAGUGCUCCCUCUGACACAAAUCCUCACAGCAGACAAAAGCCUGGACAUGAAGAUGCAGAGUGCCUCACACAGUGAGCUGUUUCAUCUUGGCCUCAGUCUUCCACGCAAGUUCCCUGUGUUCUCCUGCACAGCCUCCUGAGCAGGAAGUGAUACUGGAAAUGGAUCAAGAUGUCUGGCACUUGAG
rnacentral:lncRNA from 1 species